rnacentral:tRNA from 1 species
GCCCGAGUGGUGAAAUGGCAGACACAGUUGACUCAAAAUCAACCGCUUCACGGCGUGCUGGUUCAAGUCCAGUCUCGGGCA